GAUAGGUCUCUGUCGCUACUGUGAUUGGACACUGACACAGAGUCAACUAGCCUAGUGCGCGCGGUUCUUCGCGCGCAGAACCGCAGGACGUCGAGCCACGAGGGGGGAGGCUCGGACCGUCCGCC
rnacentral:ncRNA from 1 species